rnacentral:rRNA from 1 species
AGGGUUUGAUUAUGGCUCAGGACGAACGCUGGCGGCGCGCCUAACACAUGCAAGUCGAACGAGAAAGAGGGAGCUUGCUCUCUUGAUCGAGUGGCGAACGGGUGAGUAACGCGUGAGGAACCUGCCUCAAAGAGGGGGACAACAGUUGGAAACGACUGCUAAUACCGCAUAAGCCCACGGCUCGGCAUCGAGCAGAGGGAAAAGGAGCAAUCCGCUUUGAGAUGGCCUCGCGUCCGAUUAGCUAGUUGGUGAGGUAACGGCCCACCAAGGCGACGAUCGGUAGCCGGACUGAGAGGUUGAACGGCCACAUUGGGACUGAGACACGGCCCAG